CUGUCCUCAGCUGGAGGUAUCUGGGGCUGUGAAGGAGGAAAUCCAGUUCAGGAGAGUGGAGAAGAUUGUAGAAUCCUUCUUUGAACUGGGAAGAGCCACAAAGCACAGGGUGCUUUAGGCCUUCUGCCUCUUCAGUAAGAAUCUGUUCCUGUUAUCCAGGGAGAAUCAACAGAAAGGGAACUUCUGGAACUGAGAACCAAAGUAUCCAAACAGGAGCGGCUCCUUCAGAGCACAGCUGAGCGUCUGAAGACCGCGAACCAGCAGAAGGAGAGCAUGGAGCAGUUCAUCGUCAGCCAGCUAACCAGAACACACGAUGUUUUAAAGAAGGCAAGGACUAACUUAGAGGUAAGGAAACUACUGCACCAGUCAGAGGCACCAAGCCUGUCUCCAACCCAUCACCAUCCAUUAGCAGAUAUAGUAGGCAACCUUGGCCUGCUUUGGCCUUCCAGGAGAAGAUUUGGGUCCACUUGCAACAUCACAGGUCCUCAGUGAGUGUCCUGCUAGUUUCUGUUCCCAUCACCCUCCCACCCCGUCAGCUCCUGCCCCUGUAUCUUGGUUCACUCUCACAUUGUCAUCAUCUCUCCUUUUUACUCCAGUUUUUCUUCUUUGAUGCCGAGUCAGGAGACUGGAGAAAUGCAGUUCAGCUGACUCUUGAAGUCAUUAGACAUUCGGGAGUCUGCCUCGGAAUGAGCUUUUGGCAGAGGGAUCUUGAGGCCAGUUAUGUGUUCUACUCUUCAUGAAAAAGUAAAAGCAAUUUGCAACCUAGUAAACUGAUUUCACUGCACACUCCUGGGUUAAGAACAGCAAUUUGAUUUUGCUAUAUCUUUAAGCAACAUGACAAAAGAUAUUUGUUGAGUCUCAUUUGUCUAAAAGAGAAUUCGUUAGUAAAUAACAACUGAACCUCAGGGGAAAAAUGUUACAAAUGUACCAGACAUUAUCUAUGUUUACUUAAAACACUAAGUGUUAAUCAUUCCCUAGGAAGUGCUUUGAAGAAAAACUUGAGGUAUAUGAAUUGGUUUAAAAAUCAGAAACUAAACCUGGACUUCAAAGCUUUGCCAUAAGCAAUUGAGCAUAUUCCUAGAAAUGUUUCUAAACUGUAACCUGAGAGAAUGUUGAUCUCCACAGUGUGAAAAUGGCUUGGGCCAGUUUAA
rnacentral:lncRNA from 1 species